rnacentral:lncRNA from 1 species
CCCAAGAAUAACCCUGUAAAAAGAACGCAUCUCGGCUCUGAAAGAAAAAAAACCACUACGCUCCUCCUCCUCCUCGAUGGAUCAAAUUUGUCAAUCACCUUCCAUCUAGCUUGCCAACUGACUUCUUCCAGCAGGCUCAUUGAUGUCGAUCUUCUCUCCCCCGAGAUUGUUGUCGAUCGUUGUCCCUUCAGGUAAUCGUUAGUCGUGACUCACCCCUAAACCAAGCUCGAUCAUCAUCUUCUAUUUCAGGUAAUCAUCCUUUUUACUUCCUUCUUUGUUUCUUCUUCUAGGUUCGUAUAUAUUGACGAUUAGAGUAGGUUUCUAGGUUUUGCAAUUUCAUCAAAUUUUUAUGGUUUUGGGUUUUGAUUUAGGGUUUUCUGAUUUGGGUUCUAGUUAGGAUUUUUUAUUUGAGUUCUGAUAUAGGUUUUUCGAUUUAGGGUUUUGAUUUUAUGGUUUGUUUUGAUUAAACAACACCAAUGUUUCUUCUUUGUGACUUUGAUGUCAGUAUAAUCAAAUUUCUCAUUUCUGUCAACAUUGUAAUGUGCUUUUUUCAUGUUGGCUGACUUGUUUUGCUGAUAUCAUUUUGGUGUUGGCUGUUUUGCUUUAUGAUGAUGCAGAUAGGCUACAGAUUCUGCUAACACAAUGAAAAAUUCUUAUCAACACUUCUUGAUCAGUUAUCCCAAACUUACUUCUAGGAAAGAAGAGAAAAUAAUGACAAGAAGAGUAAACAUUGAAUCACAAACAGACGUUGUCGAUUGAUGGUCAUCGAAGAAGAUUAUCGUCGAUUGAUAGAACGAGAUCGACAGACUCAACUCAAGGGAAGGGUCUGCAGUUUUUGUUAAACUGAAAGGGAAGGGUCUGCAUUUUCAAUUACCAAUGGUGUUUGCGUUUUUUAUAAGAUAGAGGAUGAGGCUAGGGGUUUUAAGGAUAGUUUGGUCAUUUUUAUAACUUAAAUCAAUUUCAAUAACACAAAAUUUAAUGAAAAACAUGAAAUUUAAUUACAUAAAAAUUGGGGAUUCCCCUCAAUUUUAAUUUCGACGAAUUGGGAAUUUCCCCUAUUUAUAAAAUCUUAGUGGAAAACUAUUCCUAAAUUUAGUGCAAAAUUUUAAAUAAUUAAAAAUUGAAAUAACAUAAAAUAAUUCAAAUUAAUUUAUAUCAACAUCUAGUCAAAUCGUUAGUGUUUGUGUUCACCUCACAAAUUAUUCUACUAAUCAUUGUAACAAUAUAAAUAUUCAUUUUGAUGGAAUACUUUUUGUAAUUUCUAUUUGGUGAACUUAUAACCUAACCCAUAACCAAAUAACUUCAUCAAAAACUAUCUCAACCCCGAGUUUAUUAAAACUCAUUCCACUUCUCGAAUUGAAAGCUAACGAAAUAUGAGAUGUUUAAUGUGUUCUAAUUAGGAUACAUGUGCUAUAAAUAAUAAAAGGAGUUCAUUGACAGGCUGGUAAGAGUGUUGUAUUAUAACAAAGUAGGUUGUGAUUUAAUUCUUUAUAAUGUCUGCAUCUUGGAAUUUUUUUGAAUUCUAGGGGUGUUAGCUGAUGACACCCCUCAUCUUUAGCUAGCUCCGCCACUGAUCAUGAACCCAGUAAAAUGAAUUAGCUAACCUGAUACGUUUGUUGCCACUUUCAG